CGCCUCGGCCUCCCAAGAGCUAGGAUUACAGGCGUGAGCCACAGCGCCCGGCCCGAAAAAUAAACUCUUAAUCGAUUAAUAUUUGGUUUAAGUCAGGGGCUGCAAAUUGACUGUGGGCCAUAUGUGGUUAGCAGGAGUGUUCUGUUUGAUCAUUUUGUUAUGCCUGUGCUGUGUGUUAAAAGCAAUGUCACAGAUACUAGGUGUUGAAACAGACUCUGUGGACACUUAAAUGGCCUGAGAAGACAGUGAGAGUAGGGCCUCAGGUACGCCAGGGUUUGUAAUCUGGCCUGAGUUUGUAAUCUAGUUUAAGGAGGUGAGAUGCACGCCCAGGGAGAGAGCUAUCCCUAAAUGUGAGCAGUAGAUGGCCAGGGGUGGGGUGGCAGAGUUGGGAGGGGUGAGCAAUAUGGACUAGAGCCAGGAAGCUCUGAGGAGGGAGAGCUCACUCUCAACCAGGCAGUCAGGGAAGGCUUCUUGGAGGAGUGACAUUGCUGUAGUGUUUGGGAAUGGGACUAGUGGUGAAGAGGUGUGUUCUGGGGCAGGGGAACGAGCAGGCAGAAAGACUCAGAGGGAGGAAAUCUCCAGCUAUAUUCAGGCUAAUUUGGCUAAAACUGAGAAUUUGAGUUGGAGAGAAAUGGGAGUGGGCAAAGAAUGUGUGGUCUUGAAUGAAGAUGAGUAGGAAUCCAAUCUCUUGAGUCUCAAACCUAUUCAAUCAAAUGUCUCCUGAUGGAAAGAAGAGGCUUUGGGGGUGCAAGUUAAAGGCGCUAGGAAGCCAGAAGCAUGGGCGGCCCGUGGCUCAGCUCCCUGGCAGCCCUCUCUCUUCUCUCCUGUUGAGCCACCCAUAGGUGCUCCCGCCCAGCCCACUCUAUGGGAGGCAGAGAACUUCUCAGGCUCAUUCGUCAGACAGUGGUUGAUCAUCUCCUACAUCAGCAGGACGAGGGACUGCGAAGAGGGCUGGGGAGUGGCGCGGUGCCAGCUCACGUCCCGAGGCACUGGAGGCCUGGCAGCAGGAGAGCCUGCUGCCUUCACCUGCCCUCCUCUGCCCGGAAGCACAGUCGGGCUCCUGGGACGAAGCUUGGCUCAACACCCUUCCCUCCUCCUCCCUCGCUGGCCAGACACACACCGACACAGAUACAACCAGCCUCUGCAGACGUGCGUCCCCCGUGUGUGUGAAUCACAUGUGUACAUAAGCAGGUAACACAACCUGGACAAGCAGAGUCAUGCUACACACACACACAGGUAAAACCACAUGUGGAUAUAUAGAAAAGCCUAUCUGUUUGGAUUUUUUUCCAGAUACUGAAAGUCAGAAGCAUGUUCUCACAUAAGGAAGCUGCAGGCUUCACAUACAUCUGCAGUCCUCUCUCUAGGAUUUUAUUUGGCCUAGAAAACACACGUAGGCCUCUCUGUCCCCACCCCUGGAUCUCCAGGGCCACCAUUUCUCACUUCUCUCUCCUGUUCCGCAGCCCUUGCGUGACGGGCAGGCGGGCAGACGCUGCAGGCACUCCCUGCUCUCAUGGCUCUUUGUGGCACAAAGGGAGGAAGAAAGCGAGCUAGCUUGGUGGCAGCAGGCCAGGGUGAGGGCAGUGGGAGAGUUGGCUCACAAGCCUUCUUUUCUCUGCUUCCCUGGGACGUCAUUUAGCUGUGGGAUCUGCUGGCUCCCCUCUUCUCCCAGAUGUGGGGAGCUCUUCCUUUCUUAUUCCGCUUUAGGGCCUCGUUUGACCCGAAGAAAGCCUGCAGCCUCCAAGACACAGGCCAGAAGACCCCCCAUUCUAUAGAGAAGACCUCAGUUUGCCCCCAAAGCUCCUCUAGGAAGAGUGACAAGUCACUGAACUCGUGAGAAAAAGGCAUCACAUCCAUGUCUCCAUUCUCCAGGCCCUGGCAACCACCACUCUACAUUCUGUUUCUAAGAGUUUGACUACUGUAGAAACACAUGCAGCUGUGCAAAGAUUUAACCAUGUGACCUGAAAGCACAACACUGAAAGCUCUGACUGUGCUGCGAGAGGAGAGUGGGGAAACAAAGGCCAAAGCCAGGGCCAGCGCCAGCUGCCAGGAACUCCCAUCCCCAGCAGAAAAAUAACAGCCAGACUCUCCUCACCAUCACUCUCCUCACCAGCUGGCUCCAUGCCUAGAGAUGAAAUUCUUUUCUUUCCCCUUCUCUUCACCCCCUCCCACCCUCCUGACCUCUCAACUGCGAGUGCAGCUCUAGGGCCCAGGAACCCACGGGCUCUUCUUCCUCUCUUUGGAAGGACUAGGUGGCACUCUUACAGGUCAGGGAGACUGCUGAGUUUGGGGCUACAGGAGAGGGAAGGACACCCUCUGAGGGUAAAGCUUGGAAGUGCAGUAAGUUCUGUGUGACUUGAAUACCAGAACCAGCUCAGUAAGACUCUUAAACUCAGGUUGUGCAUAGUGCUAAAAUAUCUCUGCCUGCCGUGCUCCUAAUUCUUUAUGCAAUGCUUCUGCUCUUGGCUGACAGCUUCUGCUAGGAGGCCUUCAGGAAGAAGCAGAACCUUCUCUUUCUUUCUUUACUUCUCCUGACUCACCCCUACCCCAUCUGUCCCUAUUUCUUUCUGAAGUCUUAGUUCUACCACAGGCCCUAGGCCUAGAUACUCUGGUUAGACUAUUGCCGGUUCCACAGUGCAUCGCCCAUAUACCCUUAAACCAGACAUCUUUACUUCUCUGGGUCUUUUUUUUUCUUUUUAGGCUGGUCAAGUGAAGCAAUGAGGGUGGAAAGGAACAUUUCCUGGGUCUUGAUGUUUUAAAAUACUCACUUCUGCCUACUCUUUAUAUAUUUUUAUUUAUUUAUUUUUUCGAGACAGAG